rnacentral:misc_RNA from 1 species
AGGCUCCUUGUCUGGUGGAAGAUCUGAAAACAAGUUUAAAAUACAGUAACAGUAAUGAGAAACCACAGUUAUCCAAUUUACACUUCAUACUUGUGUACAGUUGCAAGUACACAAGAACAGAUUUAAUAAUAAUCAUAAUUGGUUUUAAGAUAUUUUGGCACUAAUGAUCUUUUCUCACAUGCAGUACAGUUUAAACUUCGACAGAUAACGAUUUUCAUGUCAAUAACUCAUCAUAUGAUCCAGAUUCCCAGCUAUUCAAAGAAAUACCAAUCAUGGGACUCAGCGUCCCUGUGAAUGACACUAGUAAUCUGAAAAUCAAGAAACAGAAAAGAGAAGACAAAUUUUCAUAAUGGAAACACAUCAUUGAGAGA